AGGCUGGCUUAUUUGAUUGUGGAAGCUGUCCAUCUGAACUCUGCAGAGCAGGCUGGCAGCCUGGAGACCCAGGGUAAGUUGAUGCUUCAGUCCUGAGUCUGAAGGCAGGUGCUGCCUGAACUCCCUCUUCUGAGGAAGAGGUCAGCCUUGGUCCUCUGCAGGCCUGCACCUGAUUGGAUGAGGCCCACAUCAGGAGUGUCAUCAGCUCCACUCACAGUCCACUGAUUUCAAUUUUGAUCUCAUCUAGAAAACACCAUCACAGAAACAUCUAGGGUGGUGCUUGACCAAGCUGGGCAUCAGAGCCCAUGGCUAAGUUGGUACAUAAAAUGAACUGCCCUGCGUGGUAACUGAGAGGGUUUUCACGAUGGGGGUCCAGGCCACAUGAGUGUGUUUGUGGGUGAAGGGGCAGAGCCCAGGGAAUGAGUAGAAGAGUGAGAAUCAGGAGGCAUGAUUCCAGCCCCGGCUCUGACCUUAGUGGAGGAGAGGGAAGCUGAGGCAGGUCUGCAGAGGCCAAGGAGAGGGCCAUGGCGGUGGCAUUGGUGAUGCCCCAAGGGGAAGGGCAGGCAGGGCUGCCAGAUGGUGGGGUGCCCAGGAAGGGACUCCUGGAGGCUGGGGCACCAGGCAUCGUGGGAAGGCUAGAUAUCUUCUUGAGUGGAGAUAACUCAGGAGCUCUAGCCAAACAGGAAAUGCCUUAAAAUAGCCAGCCAGUGCCUGACAUGCCAGUGGCAGAGCUCAAGCAGGGCUCCCUGUCCCCCUUCAGCCACCAUUUGUAUCUCAGGGUCUUAUUACCCACGGUCUGGCUGCUGGGUGGAUGGACUAGAGGCAGUGGCCUGCAUGCUGCUGGCAGGUGCUGGGUGUGGGCUUGUUGGUCAUUGACCACGCUAAGAGGUGGCUCUUUAGGCACAGCAACCCUGGAGCAGGGAGGACGAGAGGAUGGGAGAGAAAGAAGAUGGCUAGCUUGACCCUGGGGCCAGCAUGGGCUCUGCUUUCUCUUCUAUGCCUGGAGAAGGAGAAGGAGAGGCAGCGCCAGCGUAGGCUCUGCAGAGAAGCUCCUUUCCUCGUCAGUACCAAUUCUAAAAUAAAUCGGAGUCACUUAGAAGCCAAGCUGGAAGCACAUCCAACCUGCUGGGACCCACCACCCGGGAGCAAGGCUCUUAAAUCAAUUUGGAAAUCGUUUCCGUGUAAUAUGAAUGGACUCGGCAUUGUCCGUGGUGCUAGAGCCCGCGUAAUUAAAACGUGAUGGUUGUGAACGGUGAGAUGUACCUGCCAGGAAACUUCUUUGCUAUUGAGGUUGUUUCUGGUUGUUUCUUGGUAGAGACAAUGCUACACUGGGGCAAUGGAGCCCCUCCUCCAGUAUUUUAAGUUAUGAUUUUUUAAAAUCCUAUUUCCAGAAGUGGGAUGAAGAUCUGCCUGGUUCUUGACUAUUUGUGCACAUUGCUCUUCAGACGUCUGUACCGUUAAUACUGUCACCAAC
rnacentral:lncRNA from 13 species